CUUCAGCUUCUGGUUCUGCUUCAUCUUCUCGAAAUAUCAGGGAUCAGGAUGGUCAGUUGCAAUGAAAUUGAUGCCUUAGGAUUUGAAUUGUUUUAUGGCAUACUCUUCUUUCAUUUUCUUCUCCUGCUCGAAUUAGAUUUAGAAAAGGUCAAAAGGAUUUUGUUGAGAAGCAAGGACAGGUCUUUUAGGAGAAUUUAAAAAAAAAAAGAAAAGAAAAACUCCAAAAAAAAAAAAAGAAAAACUCCAAAAAAAAAAAAAGGAAAAAAGACAAUAGGAUGACAGAUGCACAAAAAAGGUUUUGUGGGCUCAACCAAUUUCUGGGGAACCCAUGUGUCCUGUCAACUUUGCCAAGGAAUGGUUAUUUUUGACCAAUUCACUUGACUAAUGAAAUUCUGUAGAAAUAUUUCAUGUAUUCACAUAUUCUCUGCAUACAUGGUCUAGUUGCAAGAGUAAUAGUACUUUUUAAAAGGUUUCUAAUUUUUAAAUAUUUUCCACAUGAGUGUUUACAGUUGGGGGUUUUAGGGGACAAACCUAGGGUGAAUUUUUAUUUUUAUCUGUGUCUUUUUUGCGGACAUAGUUUUCCAACAUUUAUUGUUCCAUAGCUCACUAGUUAUCUUGGUUGGUGAUGUGUAAUUCAACAGAAGAAACUAGGAGGAAGUGCCCGGUUUGUCGCAAGUCUUUUCUUGCAAAGGACAUUGAGCACGUGCUUGACUUUGUGAAGACUCAACAUGCUGUGGUAAGUUACGCAAAUAUCUUCAAUUAUUUAACAGUCAAUUCAUAUCUUUUCUCGAAUUUCUAGGUAGGGAAAACACUUUGAUUGCUGAAAUAUUGUAACAGCUGCUCCUAUCUAAGUUGAGCGGACUCUUCACUUUUGAUGCCACACCUGUGUUGGAUUCUCCAAAGAUACACUAUUUUUGGAGAAUCUGACACACACCCGUUAACAUUUUUGAAGAGUCCUAGUAUAAUAUAAGCUCCUAUGAAAAUUCCUGGUUUCAUCAAGAAAGAUUUCUUGUCCCUUAAUUGUGCAAGUAAACUCCUCACAAGCAUAAAGAAUUGCAAAGUGUUAUAUAGAAAUCCUUUUUGUGAAUGUGUUUGAGCAUCCAAAUAUAGAACGUUAAGGUAAUUGAUGGAGUUACCUAUGGUCUUUAUAAGCUCUUGUGGAUGUCCUUGUGCAUCCAAUGUGAUGUAUUAUGCAUCUCUUUUUUUUUCUAACACAAAUUUUUAAAUUUUUUGAGAAUUAAGCGUUAGCUCAUUGGUUAAUUUCUAUAUCCUCCUUUUUCUUCAUUGUAUUGGCUUUUUAAAAAGUUAGUAGGAAUUGUUGGUAAAUUAAUGGUGAGGGAGUAAGAAGUUGUGGGAUUGUAUACAGCAUUUGCCGAAGAAUUAAGAAACAGAUAAGAAAAAUAGUUUGAGGAGCUACGCACGACUGUCCAGACCAAUAGGCAAAAGUUCACGGAUAGAAAUAAAAAACUUGGUGAAUACAUUGAUUGCACGUCAUUUGUUUCCCACCCCAUCUCCACCACACCCAUCAUCCACUAUAAUGAGGAUGAUAAGAGGAUUAGGCAGAUAACUUGUCAAAAAAGAAGAAGAGAGGAUUAGGCAGAUAUACACACAGCCUCGGUUUUAUGUGUGGAUUAUGAUUCUUGUAAACUCUUUAUAGUGACUGUUUAUGGAUGUUUGGUUUCUAUAUUGAGCUUUUAGAAGUCAAACUGUAAAAGGUUUGCCUAUUAAAUAUGGAACAAAAACUCGGAAACCUGAUAUGUUAAAUCUGAAACAGUAUACAGUUUGUUAGUGCCCCUAGUUACUAAAUGAGUGUUUAUUUUUUGUUCAGUUACAACGAUUUGGUAUUUUUAUUGGAAUUUCUUUGGAAGAUCUGUUGAUAUCUGUUCACUGUUUGAAUCCAGAGCUCCGGCGGAUCUGAAGUCAACAAUGAUGGCACAGUUCUUUUCUCAGAAUCAGAAAAAUUAAGAAGAGAGAAAUUUGCUGCAAUACUGCAACUCCAGCAAGAGAAGGGUGGCUUAAUUGAACUAAAAAAGCAUGAAGUGUUGCGGCCAGGUAUUUAUCUUCCACAACCCGCUGCAUUACCAUCGACAGCAUCCACCACCGAGGGAAGUGAGCAACAAGACAGAGAUCCGGCAGCCAAAUCCAGAACAAAUCCUAGUGGUUCCACAAACAAACAGAGUACCAGUAGAGCAAGGAACUCCGGCACUAAGAAACACCAGGGGCACAAUUCAAGAAAACAAGUCCCUCACAACUCAAGAAAACAAGUCACUCAGUGGGUUAAGAAAGAAAACAGUGAUACAACAUGAUAUGAGAUUUUUAUUUUUUUUAAAAAAAGGAAGCUGAAAGGAACGAAACCAUUGGUUAUUUUUGUUAUUUAUCGGCCUGCUUACAUGAUCAAUUCUGAUAUAUCGGGAAGCCAAGGAAGUUGGCAGAUAGACACCAGCUACUGUUUGUUGCGCAGAGAGUGUCGCGAUUAGAAGUGAUAGAUUUCUCAUUUGUAAGGUUUCUGAUAUCUUUCUCCAAGAUAAAAUAUAUAUUAGACUUUUCAAGAACAAUUGCUUGUGUGUUGUUCCAGCUCUAAACUGAGCCUGAGGCAAUGCUGUGCUUUCACUGUAUAAAUCUGACUGCAGCUCUUCCCAACAGAUAAAAAGUUCAUUUUAUGGUUCAGGGGUGGACGAUUUAUUCAUUCAGUCCAAAGACUCAGGACGUUCCUAAAAUGUCGAUUAUUCGGGAAAUUCAAUAUAAUGGCCAUCUGUUGGCAUUCCAGCCUUUUUUCUACUUUCCAGGCCUAUAUGAAAAAGAAGGAUAAACAACAUAAAUUUCAAUCUCUAUGAAAGUAAUUACAUAGGAUUUCGGUUAUAUUCUCUCUCUUAAUUUUUGAAAAAUACUUAUACAUUAUUAUGUCUCUUAUACAUUACUAUAAUAUAUGAGGUGAAUCAAUUUGCAUAUAAUUAUGGAAAUAAAGUAUGAUAUCAUUAUUAUCUCUCACAAUUAACGUCAUUAAUUAAUGCACUGAUUUUAUGGAGGCAGAAAAAUAGUAACUGAUAAAUCAAAUUUAAAAUUAGUUAGUAAUGAUAAACUUCAAAUCAAUCAAUAUAUAUAUAUAUAUAUAUAUAUAUAUAUAUAUAUAUAUAUAUAUAUAUAUAUAUAUAUAUAUAUAAAAGACAGAUACUUUAAAAGGAGUAAUUAUUUUGAGCUUUUAAAUUGAUUUAAUAUUUAAUUGAAUUUGAAAAGGCAUUAUACAUACAUUGAAUAUUCAUUUGCAAGAGUUAAAAGUAGUUAACCCACAAACUUUGAAAUAAAUCUCACUUAACCUUUCAUUCAGCCCACGUAACAUUGAUAUAUACGUUUUCCAUGUUUCCUAUAGUAUAUAUUAUUCUUUCUUUUUGAGUCAUGUUAAUCUCCAUCUUGUGUUCUUUUACAUAUUUUAUUGUGCACCGAAAAAAAUAUUCAGUAACCAAAAUAUUGUGCAUGACCUUCUUAAGCUUUCCAUUAGUAGAUUAUUAGUAUUUUGUGACUAUAAAUUUGAGCCAAUGAUGGAGUAAGUAUUAGACCAUUAUGAAAUUGUAUUUCAUUUGUAGUUGGAGAAGUACGAAAUUGUCUUGUUUCCUUUUUCCUUUUCCGAUAUCAUUUUUCAGUUUCUUUCUUGUACUAAUAUUUUCAUAUUUGGUUCAAAAAUAAUUGUUUUUCUUUCCCUUAUUUUUCUUUCUUGUCUCCAAGGCUGUAUUUUAUUUAAGCAAGAAUGUAAUAUGUGAAAUUUUAUUUAUUUUCUUACAAUUUUUAUUUGCAAUGCAUUAGUUUGUGUGAUGUUUUAUUUUUGCAGAAAUAAGAGAAGACUCAAAAAUCAUCAUAAAAAGAUUUAUGAAGAAAAGGACAAAUUCAUUAUCGUCACUGGCAACUUGACAUGAAUAUUUUUUUUGGUAAUGUUUUUUCUAUUUUUUUUUUAUAGCUGAAUAGUAUAAUGUUGAUACUUUUAAAAUUUGAUGUGGUAUAAAAAAGACGUUUGAUGAUCUACAUUUGAUCACAUGCAAAGAAUCAGAAUUCUUUUUUAUAUUUAAAAUGUUUAAAUAGCUUAAUUUUAUUUUUACUGAUUGUUUAUUUACUCCCACUUUGUUUUUCUUUUAAAUACGAGGCAUCGAAGAGGAAUGAAAAGGUUGUGUAUUAGAGGAGUUUAAAGUUCUUCAUUUUUUGUUAUUGUUACUGCAGUUUGAGCGAGUGAAAGAAGAAAAGACUAAAAAAAUUUUUAUUGUGGGCGAGAGCUUGAUCUCUUCUUUCUUCAUCAUUUUACAAAUGAGUUGACUAAUGAACUAAUUAUGCCAAAAGAAUGUAGGCAAUUUUUUUCUAAGAGAAAAAAAAAGUAACAUUUAAAUUUAAUUGAAAAUUAACUAUCAUUUUAUAAUCACUAAUAUGCUAACAAAUUAUGUUAUGGACUAUGGUUAUAUUUAUGUUUGAUUUUUUUUCUUUACUUUUUUGAAAGUCUUUUCCUCAUCGUUUCUUUAUUUAAUACAAUUCAACUUAAACUAUCACUGAUGUGGCAUGCCUCAAUGAGCUUCAUUUCUAUUUAUCUAUUUUCUCAUUUUCUUGAAUUUUUCUCUAAUUUUAUAUUUAGAAAAAUUUCAGAAAAUUAGUUACUCUUUACCGUUUCUCUUUCCUCAUUAUUACUGUUAUUUAUUUAUUUUUCAAUAAUUAUUAUAUUACCUUCUUUUUCUUCGUGCAAUUAUUAAAUAUAUAUCAUCUAUAUUUAUUACUUUCCUUAUUUUACAACUUUAUUUACUUUUUUAUUCUCUCAUUCUUAAAUUAAGAAAUUUUUGUAAAGGAAAUGGUAUCCUAACCUAACGUAUGUUAGAUAACAAAAUCAUUCAGAAAAGUGGAAAAUAAUAUAUUAGCAAAAAAGUAUAUUUGGUAAAGUGUAAUACAAUAAUAAAAAUAAGAGAAGAAAUAUUUUUUAAGUUUCUUUUACAAAAAUAAUUAGUGUAUUAUUAUUAUUAUUAUUAUUAUCAGGACAAUGCAUUUAUCUAAUAUACAUUUAAAUCAUCAUCAAUUGAAAUUAGUACACAUUUUAAGUAAAUGAAAAACAAAAGGACCAAAUCCCUUUCAUUUUGCAAAACUGUUUAAUUUUUAGCAUAUAAAAAAGAUGAGCUGAGUAUCUGACUUAUUAACUUUGCCUCUUUUCUUUUUGAAAUGUUAUUUUCUUAAGAAAAUUGAGGGGUCGUUUGGUGGAGUGUAUUGUCAAAAAUAAUGCAUGCAUUAAUUAAUGUGUAUUAUGAAUAUCUUGUUUGGUACAAUUUUUAGUCUAUGUAUAAUUAAUGCAAACAUUAGUUAUACACUCUAAUGUGUAUUAAGGUGUGUAUUACUAAUACCAUCCAUUUUUUAUGUAUUAGUAAUGGAAAGGCUUUAAUACAUGCAUUAACUUAUUAAAUGACUUUAAUACCCCUCAAUUUCCCACUCAAAAUAUUUCACCAUUCCUUUUCUCGCCAUUUUAAUUUGCAAUAGUGAAUCUUUUCAAAAUAUUUCACAAUUUUUUUCCACCAUUUUAAUCUACAACAAUAAAUAAUUGAUUUAAAUAAUUGUAACAUAUUUUUGCUUUGCUUCGAGAGUCUUUAAAAAGAUAAAAAAAAAAGUUGAGAAUAUUUCUUAAUUUUAUGUCUUAUAUUUUAUUUUUGUUUCGACUAUGUUAAUCUGUUGGCGUAAUAAUUCAUACGCAAAGACGAAGGUCUUGCAAUUAAUUCGAAACCUCUAUAUACUAGUUCAACAAUACUAAUUAUAUUUGAAAUGACAAAAGAAUUUUGUUGCAAAAAAAAUGUACAAAAUCAAAGAAGGGUAUUUUUGUAAACAAACAUUUCUUUUAUAGAAAUUAUGUAAGAUGUAUUAUUUCUUAUACAUCAAACCAAACAAUGUAUAAGAAAUAACACAUGCAUAACUAAUACAAGCAUUAUUAAUGCAAACAUUAUUAGUACACUAUAUUUUGCAUUAUUCUUAUACACUCUAUCAAACGACCCCUGAAAGUGAUACUAUUUCAUGGUCCUUCUAAAAAUCUUCUAUAUAGUAAAAAUAAUUAUGACCAUAAAAAAAAUGUGAUGUAGUGAAUGGAGUUGUACCUCGCUUAAUUGAUCGAGUAAUACACUCAAAUCUAAAGGUGGAUAAUUUUUUGUUAAAGAUGGAGAAAAAAGAUUGUAAAACGACUAUGACUAACAAAGGAUGCGGAAUAGUGGAUGAAGUUGCACCUCGCUUAAUUGGUCGAGUAAUACACUCAAAUUUGAAGAAGGAUAAAUUUUGUUGAAGAUGGAGCAAAAAGAUUGUGAAGAUAAAUAGUAAAAAACAAGUUAUUGUUGUGUGAAGCGAUUUCAAGCUGCAAUUAUUUUCUAUUUGUAAUAUUUUUUUUGUCAUUCUGAUGCAAACUGAUCAAAAAUAAUGUUUAUACUUCAUCGUAAAUAAUGAGAAUAUGAGGUUUUAUAUUGCCUCAAAAAAACUCUAUGAGGUGUUACAUUUUGAAAAAAAAAAUAUCAAUCUAACAGAGAAAUUUAUAGAAAGAGUGAGGAAAGUGUCCAGGGAAAAAGAAGAAUUAUUUGAAGAAAGAAUUAUUCUAUUUAUAAAAUUCAUACUAAAUGAAGAAAAAAAUUAAUUUAAAAGAAGAUAUUAUUCCAUAAACAUAAAAAAGAAGGAAGGUCAAUGAGGUUAAAAGAUAAUAUAAUAAAGAAAAUGAACGAAAAAGGAAAUGAAAAAUUAAUAAGAUAUAAAAUGGCAUAUAAGGAGCUGAAAAUGAUGUUUGUCAUUAUUUCUUUUGACUAUUUUACGCUGCUAAUUCCUUACCUUCUUUUAUGUUUUUAUUUAAAAUGUUUUUUCCUCCUUCAUUUUUUCUUGUGUAUUUUUUUAUUAAAGUUAAUAUUUUCAGCAUUAAAUUUAAAAUGUUAAGAAGCACUAAAAAUCUUACUAUUAUGUAGUUGUUAUUUAUAAGAGAUAAUUUCAUUUAUUCAUAUUUUGGUGAAAUCUCUCUCAAUUAAGUGUGGAUAAAAAAGAAAUAAUAACUAAUGAUAUUUUCUCAAUUUGAAUCUCAACUUUUAAAUAUAUCUCUAAAUACUCUUCAAAUUAAAAAUUACAACUCUUUUAGAUACCACUUAUUAGGACUUUAAAGCAUAAACACUUUUGACAUGAUAAAAAUUUCAACUUCCUUUUGCUUUUUAAUGGUUUAUAGUUUUGUGAAAUUAAAUUUUGUGAAGAAAAGGAGUUUAUUUCAAAAGUAAACAUAUAUAAUCAAUCUGUCUCAUAUUAAUAUGAUGAAAGAAUAAUCUUAAAAUGUAAGUUAAAAUGUACUAAGUUUAACUUGCGAGAAACAAAAUAUGACAAAUAAAUUAAAUAUGAGAGUAAUAAGGCGUGUUUAGCUACUUAAUUAUUUUAUCAUACAUUAUUUGUCAAAUGAGUUUCAGUUAUACCAUUUGUAUUAGUGUAUUAGAUUAACAAAUUCUUUUUCCUGUAUUUUAAAAUUAAAAUUUAUAUACCUACAAUAUAAAUAAUUUGGUUUUGAAUACACUUUUAUUCUAAAAUCAAAUAUGUAUACCCUUGUAUUAAAAGAAUUCUAUAAUUAAACCUUAUGGGUAUAAUCUCCAUAACUUAUUAAAACAUAAUUAUUAAAAAAAUAUUAUUUAUUUAUUUUCUCCUUUUAUGAAGUUUUUCUCAUUUAAAAAAAUUAAGUGAUUAAGUUAAAGGAUAACCCAAUAAUCAUACUAAAAAUGAAAGGUUGAUUACUACUCAUUAUUAUCAGCAAUCAUUAAUAUAAUAUCAUAAAAGGAAAACAAACGUUUUCUAUAGCCCUGAAAGUCAAUUAGUGCUCCUAUAGGUCAUUUAUCUAUUAACAUUAUUCCUCCGUUGAAUAGUAUUUUUUCACUAUUGACUUGAUACACUCUAAUAAACACUAAAUAAUAUGGAUUUUACUAUAUUACUCAAUAUGUUAAAUUUAAUAUUUUGAGAAAUGUAUUAGAUAAUGAGUAAUAUUCAAAUUAAGAGUAAAAUAAGCACAAAUGAAUAAAUUAUCUAAUAAUCUUUUAAACUAAACAAGAAAUUAUUAAACAUCAAUUUUUAAUAUAAUGAACAAAUAAAAAUGGACGGAGUUUAAAGAAAGUACUAUCUUUAUUUUAUUUAUUUACGAAAUGAUCAUCUUUGAGAUUUUACAUACCAAAAUUAAUGUGAAAUUACAAAUUUGAUGGUAAGUAAGAAUCAAUAGAAAUAUCUUAAUGAUUAAAUAUUAGUAUUGAAAGUAAAUUUUCAUAUUAUACACCAUGAAGUAAUUAGUUUCCCUUAUGUUACGUUACUUACCGAGAAAAUUUAGCUCCUGCCUUCACUUUCUUUCGGUAAAAACUUACACGCACCCGAUAUAUACACCAAACUAAUAUUUUUUUACCAUAAAACUAGAGCAAGGCCUAAUUGAAAAUGAAGCGAAUUGUUGAUUGUGUCAUAAAGACCCUUAUGUCCACGCCCCAAUCGCCCCCCCGGAGGAAGAUGUGCAUCUAAUUAAAUCAAGUAAAAUAUAUGUUGAUUAAUCUUGGUUAAGUAACAUGAACUUUAAAUUCAAACACAUGACAUGCAUGUAUUGACUUGGUGUAUACACCGGGUGCGUGUAAGUUUUUUCCCUUUCAUUUUUCAUUAAAAGCACUUUCAAUUUAUUAAGAGGACAUUAUUAGAGUGUUGUUUUGGAAAAUAGAAUUCUGAUUUUAGGGGAUUUUACAUUAAUUUAGGAGAUUAAUUAAAAAAAAUGCUUUUUGACAAUUAAUUUUAAAAAUAAAAAUAAAAUAUAGCCACAGUACGUGAAGUAUCCAAUAUAGGCUUGUAAUAAUGAAGGAAAAGAAAAAGAGAAAGAAAAAUUUGUACAUAGUUUUUGCCAAAAUUAAAUAUUAUUUUAAAAAAAUUCUUUAAUUUCAUUAGUUUUGAUCCAUUUAGAGGGUUGGCUAUGAGCUUUCAAAGUGUGUAUUUUUCUUCACUUUUUUACUAUUUUUUUCUUUAUUUAGCGUUUAAUAAAAAAGCUUGCCAAAAAAAACUAUAAAUAAGAAUUAAAUGUACAAGUAUUAUAUAUUAUUAUUUUAUUUAUUUCGAAAAGGAAAAAAAAAAAGAAGAGAAAACCAUAAUGUGAAAAAACAAAUUUUUACUGAUAGUCCAUUUGACCAAGUUUAUUUUUAUCCAAAAGUGUUUAUUUUUUUUUUUAAAUUGCUUAUUUAAAAAAAUUGAGGUAUUAGACCAAACUUCUCUAAGAAAAUAAGUGCUUAUGAGAAGUAGAAGAAACAAUUUUCAUAAACUAAAGAAAAAAAAUAGUUUCCUUCAAAAGUACUUUUUUUUAUAAAAAAAAAAAAAAAAACUUUUGAGAAAAAUACACUUAAAAGCUAUUUUAAAAGCUUGAUCAAAUGUAAAUUAUUGCUCAAAACUUCUUACUCAAUUUAUUGGCCAUACAAAUUACUUCUCACCAAAAUUACUAUUUUGAAAAGCACUUUUCAAAAUAAAUAUUUUAUAAGCUUGGCCAAACAUGCUAUAAGAUUCCCCUUGUAUUAUAUAUUAUAAACUAAAAAUAUGAUAUAAUCAAACUAAUUUCAAGAAAUAAAAUAUUAUUGUAUUUCAAUUAAAAAAUUUAUUGCAUAAAAGAAAUUUAUGACUGCGCGAAGUGCGGUCAAGUACCUUGGUAUUAAUAUAACAAAGUAGUAGACUUCUUUCAUAAUUAUGCACCUUAAAACACGUAAUAUUUUCAUUUUCUCCUAAACAAUCGACAAUUUCUUCUUCUUUUUUAACCACUAAUUAAAUACCCCUAAUCAAUUAACAAAUUCUUUUUACCACUAAUAAACUUUAAAAAUAAAACCUUCUCAAUAGCCAUCUACAAUCUACCCCAUAAUAAACUUUAAAAUAAAACCUUCUCAAUAGCCAUCUAAGAAACACAAAAAAAGGGUAAACAUAGAAUCAGACUGCCAAAAUAAAAAAAAGACAACCCGAAACACAAAAAAAGGAUAAACAUAGAAUCAGACUGUCAAAACAAAUAAAAGACAACCCGAUACAACAGUAUGUGUAAACCUUAUACAAGUCAUAAUAUAAUCUUAUACAGUUUUACAUGUAUGUGUAAACCUUAUACAACUCAAUCUUAUACAGCUCGGACCAGACUCCAUUGCAAAAUUUAUACUUUACGGAUUAACCACUUUCAAAUAAAUAGCAAAAAAAACAAAGAUCUGACUUUGAAAUAUAUGAAAAAAUACAAAAAAAUUCAACUCUCACAAUGGUAUUGAAUUACAAAAGCGGAUACUUUGAUGAGUACAUACCUGCAGCAAAGAAAAAUUCGAAUCCAAAUUUAAUUUGGUAAAGUUGAAAAAAAAAACCCUUAAAAUUAAAUGAAGAAGGUGAACUUUGCUCAGUUAAUGAUUGAUAACUGAAUAAUUUGAAACUCCCUAGAUCACGUUAGCUUGAUUCUAGGCGUAAAUAAAGGAGCACAGAUAUGGAGUAAAAAACGGUGCACAAAAUAUGAAGCAGAAAACCUAUUUUGGUUAGUAUAAGGGGAUGAGAGAGAGAGUAAAAGUAAGAGAUUUUAUGUAAUUAAUAUGAAAUUUUUGUAAUUAUUUUUCAAAAUAGAAAUUUUAUGUAAUAUUUAAUAUGAGACUCUUGAGCGUGAAUAUCUGAU
rnacentral:lncRNA from 1 species